AUGACCCGCUUGCAUCAUAGGCGUGUCUCAAUGGCUAGGUCGAACAGGUCUUCUUCUAGUGCCUCCGUAGGAAACAAUGGAUCAACUCAGUCAACUGUACAGGCUAAAAAGCCUAGAACACCAAGAACUAGGACUUCAGCCGGUCUCAGACUAGAGGAAAUUGACCGACCGCUUAUAGUUCCCGUUGGCAUGGCAUGGGAAAGGCACCCAUACAGCGCUCGUGAUCCAUCAACGGUGCUAGGUGCCUUAGUGCGCCAGAUGUAUCCACCGCCAAUUGGUCCAAAAAAUGAUCAGAAACCGGUAUUGUGUUGGGAGGACUACAAGUGGUCCCCUGGUCCAGAAGUAAGAACAGCAGCUUCCAAAAUAGUGGAAGAAUUUUGGUGGCAUUUCAAGUGUGACCCAUCGGAGCAAGAGAAGGCAGAUGAACUAACAGAAGAGGAUGAGGAUGGUAACCACUGGCCAACUAAGGAAGCUUUAAUUUCUGCAAAGAGAGUUGACUUUGGUACAGACGUUGGUUGGCGUCUACUAUGUGAGCACUGGAGUAGUACUGAAUUUAGAGGGUUAUCUUUAACCAACAAAAGGAACAUACUUGCUAAUGGGGACACGGUCUUCCAUUGCAGUGGUGCUAGAAAUGUUGUCGCCACACGUCAAUUUCUGAAACUCAAAACCGGGAAAGACCCUGGAAUUUCUGGUGCUUGGCUUCACACGCACAAAUUGCAUCGAGGGACUGAUGAAGAGCAGAUAUGCAGUCAAAGAACUGCUGAUCAUUGGGAGGAUUUUGAUAAGGCAAUGAAAAAUGCCCAUGGAGAAAAUUGGGAAGAGGAGCACCCGGAUUUAGAUGGACAAAUCAUCUACGAAGCAGCAGACAGAAUGCCACAUGGCAGGCUGGGAAUUGCUAAUGAGUUGUUUAGCAAAGCAGAGAAGGCGAAGUUUAAGUCUAAAAGGGCGAUGGCCUCACAGCCGGUGCAAUCUGCUAAGGAGGAGUGUCUAGAAAGAGACAAAAAAUAUUUGAAGCAGGAGAUCAAGCGUCUUCGAGGCAUUGAGCUUGUUGUUCAGUCUUUGGCUGAGAAAGGGGGAGUCGACUUUGAUGGCAUAAUGCAAUCAGCAACAGAUGACUUGUCUCCAUCAUAUUCUGAAGGCGGAUUUCAAAGGGGACGAGGUGAUGUGCCUCAACACCAAACCGAAAAGGGAAUGGGAAGCAGGACUGGAGGCAGUACGAGUCAUGGAAAUGAUGAUGAGGACGACGACUAUGGCAAUGGGGGAUAUGGUAACUAUGGCGAGGGUGAUCUGUAUGGUGAUGAGCACUAUGAUCACUAUGGUGAUGGGGAAUAUGAUGACUAUGGAGAUGAGGAUGACUAUGGCUAUGGCUAUGGCGGUGGCGAUGGCGAUGAUGAUGAUUGGCUAUAA
rnacentral:rRNA from 1 species